rnacentral:rRNA from 1 species
GACGAACGCUGGCGGCGUGCUUAACACAUGCAAGUCGAACGGAAAGGCCCUGCUUUUGUGGGGUGCUCGAGUGGCGAACGGGUGAGUAACACGUGAGUAACCUGCCCUUGACUUUGGGAUAACUUCAGGAAACUGGGGCUAAUACCGGAUAGGAGCUCCUGCUGCAUGGUGGGGGUUGGAAAGUUUCGGCGGUUGGGGAUGGAUUCGCGGCUUAUCAGCUUGUUUGUGGGGUAGUUGCUUACCAAGGCUUUGACGGGUAGCCGGCCUGAGAGGGUGACCGGCCACAUUGGGACUGAGAUACGGACCAGACUCCUACGGGAGGCAGCAGUGGGGAAUAUUGCACAAUGGGCGGAAGCGUGAUGCAGCAACGCCGCGUGCGGGAUGACGGCCUACGGGUUGUAAACCGCUUUCGCCUGUGACGAAGCGUGAGUGACGGUAAUGGGUAAAGAAGCAACGGCUAACUACGUG